UAAACAGGAUGAAGGAGCUGCAGC
rnacentral:piRNA from 1 species